UAAUAAUAAUAAUAAUAAAUAUAGCUGCAAGCAGCAAUAACGGGGCCAAGCACUACAGAAGCAAGCUUCAGACGAACGGCAGGAAUGAGUAAUUAAAACCGUUUUAAGAUUAUUUUAGGCAAAAUGGCUUGAAAACAAUAAACACAACAAGAAGUAAUAGGAUUUAUUGGCUUAUCACGUGUAACCAAUAGGUGGUGCUGUUACCAAAUUAGUUUGGAAUGGUCAGUGUGAGGUGACAAUGACACAUACAAAGUUUGGUGCAAAAAUGUCAAAGCUUUGCUGAGAUACAGCCUCAAAUGCAUGUUGGCAUCCUUCCAGCAAAUUCAUUAAUGCGCUAAAUGAGAACCGUUUCGUAUAUCGACACGAAAUCAAUAUCUUUUAGGUGGCUCAGUCUGAAGAUGAUAUGAUUCAAUUUUGGUGAAAAUCGGACGAAGGGUUGAUGAGGAGUUCGAAAAAGUAGGUUUUAACUGAAAUUCAAGAUGGCGGACAGGAAGUUUGGCCAAAUAAGGAAAACUUGGUAUCUAUGUUCUCGGCUUGACCCAAGGAUUCUAUUAAAACCAGCGACAUUUCAAUAGCCAGAUUUAUUCAAAAGUUAUUGGCCUUUUUGGAAAUUUUGUUAUAACUUUUGACCACUAGGUUUCGAAAUAUUUUGAGUACCUUCAGGGGAUGGUGUUGUUGGCACAUUCUGAGUUUCGUAAUAUUACACCAAUGCAUUUGUUUAGUAUAGGAUUCUAUUUCAGAAAACUGCAUUGAAGUCAAUGGGAAUUUCAUUCCCACCAUUUUUUUAUGUGUCCUCAGAGUGAGCCCAUACAUAUGUGUGUCAAUUUUGGUGAAAAUAUCUCAAUUCACUUCAGAGUUAUAGACAUUUAUAUGAAAAA